rnacentral:rRNA from 1 species
ACUCAAAUGAAUUGACGGGGGCCCGCACAAGCGGUGGAACAUGUGGUUCAAUUCGAAGCUACGCGAAAAACCUCACCAGGGCUUGACAUGUAGGAAGUAGUGAACUGAAAGGGGAACGACCCGUUAAGUCGGGAGCUUACACAGGUGCUGCAUGGCUGUCGUCAGCUCGUGUCGUGAGAUGUUGGGUUAAGUCCCGCAACGAGCGCAACCAUUGUCCUUUGUUGCCACUUCUCUUGCCGCAAGGUUAAGAGGAAGCACUCUAAGGAGACUGCCCGGGAUAACCGGGAGGAAGGUGGAGAUGACGUCAAGUCAGUACGGCCUUUAUGCCCUGGGCUACACACGUGUUACAAUGGAUGGUACAAAGGGUUGCCAACCCGCGAGGGGGAGCUAAUCUCAAAAAACCAUCCCCAGUUCAGAUCGGAGUCUGCAAUUCGACUCCGUGAAGCCGGAAUCGCUAGUAAUGGUGGAUCAGCACGCCACCGUGAAUACGUUCCCGGGCCUUGCACACACCGCCCGU